GACGAACGCUGGCGGCGUGCUUAACACAUGCAAGUCGAACGGAAAGGCCCUGCUUUUGUGGGGUGCUCGAGGGGCGAACGGGUGAGUAACACGUGUGUAACCUGCCCUUGACUUUGGGAGAAGUUCAGGAAACGGGGGCUACUACCGGAUAGGAGCUCCUGCUGCAGGGUGGGGGUGGGAAAGUUUCGGCGGUUGGGGAUGGACGCGCGGCUUAUCGGCUUGUUGGUGGGCUAGUGGCUUGCCAAGGCAUUGACGGGUAGGCGGCCUGAGAGGGUGACCGGCCACAUUGGUACUACGAUACGGACCAGACUCCUACGGGAGGCAGCAGUGGGGAGUAUUGCACAAUGGGAGGAAGCCUGAUGCGGCGGCGCCGCGGGCGUGAUGACGGCUUUCGGGUUGUAAACAGCUUUCGCCUGUGACGAAGCGGUAGUGACGGUAAUGGGUAAAGAAGCACCGGCUAACUACGUG
rnacentral:rRNA from 1 species